rnacentral:tRNA from 1 species
GCCCAGGUGAUGGAAUUGGUAAACAUAACUAGCUCUUUGGGCUAGUGGGCAGGUAAUGCCCCUGUAAGUUCGAAUCUUGCCUUGGGCG